rnacentral:misc_RNA from 1 species
GGUGGGUUCAAACCCUGACCAUUCAAAUAGAGAACAAAACGCUCGUCUUUUCCGGUGAAGCUCAUGUGUAUUUGUGCAACACAAAGAAUAUUAUAUAUAUAUCUAUACUACCUAUUAAGGCUGUAAGGGGUAGGCUGCCUCCCCCUGGUUCUGCCUUCAGCCAAUCUACACUGUCCAUCUAUAUGCGUCAAAUCAUCACCAUCCAUCUCGUCGCCUCCGCUUCAAGCCUCCUCCAUCCAUCGAUCGCAACUGCUCCUCUCUCCGCUCCCCACCACGCACACGGGCGCGGGCGUGGAGACCGACCACCAUGGCACCACCUCCUCCUCCGGUUGCCUCCGGCCUCGCCAUCCCUCUGUCCUCGACUUCCCUCCGUCCUCCCGGUCUCCAGCCUCCCGGACCAGAAGCUCCACGUGGCGCGACAGCUCGUCUCUGUCGUCUAUGGCGGCGGCAGAGGUGUACUCGCCGAUCGCGGCGGCGGCGGCGCAGCAGCGGCGGGAGAAGGCGACGUCGCAGAUCUGGCGGGCGGUGGUGGGGUGGUGGGGUGGAUCGACGAAACGCCGCUCCCGCCGGGCUCCCGCCUGGACGUCCGCGCCUACACCACCGUGCUGCACGCGCUCUCCCGCGCGGGCCAGUACGAGCGCGCGCUCGAGCUCUUCGCCGAGCUCCGGCGCCAGGGAUACGAGAUAAAGCGAGAUUCAAUGUUUCAUAAAGCGAGAUAAAUCGAAGACCACAUAUCAUCUCUACUUGUGCCUGACCACUGCUGUACUUACGGAGAGUGGCGAGUUCCUCUUAUCAGCUAGAAGGAACCGCAAAACAAGCUGCACGAGUAUAUUAUCUCGAUGGAUGCUGACAACAUAUAUGAUGCUGACAACAUAUAUUGGAAAGCUGAGGUCAAACUUCCUCAGCACAAAAUUUAUGAUCUCUAACAUGCAGCCGCCUUAUAAUGGGGCUGUAGUCCCUCAUGCUGGCCGGACAAAUCGGAGAUUCGACUCCAGGAAUGUCUCCCUAAGGCAACUUGGGGAUGAGCGACGAGGAGCUCAUGGAGCAGUGCGAUAUGGGCACGUUCAAGGCGUCUGGCCCCGGCGGCCAGCACCGCAACAAGCGCGAGUCCGCCGUCCGGCUGAAACACCUUCCCACCGGCAUCAUCGCCCAGUGCUUCAGUUAGGAGGCCGAUAAACCUGGAAGACUACACUCCACCUGUUGAGCUUCUUCAGAUAUUACCCCUGAAGUACAGCGUUAGAGGAAAAGAUGUUGGCCCCCAAAUCGGUCCAAAUAACUCAAAAUUUUCUCCAGAAAUGCAAGCAUUAUUAGACCUGUUGUUUGCUGUUGAAGGUUCUGUAUCAGAUGCAGCAAAGAUUUUAGGCCUAAGCACUGGUGCUUUGUCAAGAUUGAUUCUGUCAGAUGAUUCUCUCCGAACGGCCGCGAAUGAACUGCGAGCUUCGAAGGGUUUCAUAACAAAUGCUGUGAAAAGACAGAUGAGACUUCAAUAUCUUCUGCUCAGCUAAGCCCGCUUGAUAAAACAUAGUACCAAACAUGAAUGGCUUCAAGGCUAGCAAAUGUUUGAGGACACUUGAUCUACACCAAUGAGGUUCCUGGAUCUGAACAAGCCUGGCACAAAAAUUAGGAAAAUAACAAAGCACGGUUGGGAUGGGGAUGGGACGAUUCUGAUAUGAAUGAUUGAAUUGCCGCUCAUCUUACC